rnacentral:rRNA from 1 species
UACGAAGGGGGCUAGCGUUGUUCGGAAUUACUGGGCGUAAAGCGCACGUAGGCGGACUACUAAGUCAGGGGUGAAAUCCCGGGGCUCAACCCCGGAACUGCCUUUGAUACUGGUAGUCUCGAGUCCGGAAGAGGUGAGUGGAAUUCCGAGUGUAGAGGUGAAAUCCGUAGAUAUUCGGAGGAACACCAGUGGCGAAGGCGGCUCACUGGUCCGGUACUGACGCUGAGGUGCGAAAGCGUGGGGAGCAAACAGG